CAUGGGGUUGCACAGAGUCGGACAUGACUGAAGUGACUUAGCAGCAGCAGCAGCUGUCACGGUGUGAUCCUGACCAAACCCCAAUUGUGUGUGCUUUAGUUUCUCCAGCUAUGAAAUAAGCAGAAUAGCCCAUUUUCCUCUUCCCUUCUCAGGAAAGUCAAGAGGAGGCUUUCCCUGCAUGAUGAGGGUUUAGCUGUAUCAUUUCUCAAAAUGCAAGACUUUUAUUCUUUGAGUAGCCUAACAACAGUUAUUCAAGUUAUUUAAGUAAUUGCUUAUAGUGUACAUAGCCAGUGACUCCUCCCCAUUAAUCCAUAGUGUGUUGUUUUGUUCACAGCAAUGCCUUGUGCAUCUGAUUGCAUAAAACAGGUAGUCAAACUUGUGGCAGGUGAUGAGUUAAUAAAGAUAAGAUCCCAGCUAGACCCUAACCACACAGUCACCAAAGAACAGGGCCCUCCUACUCAGAGUUUUUUAGCCCUAAAACACCUGACACCCUGGUCAACUCUCCCAUACUUUCUGACUCUGACUUGUCCUCAAGGUCACAAGAGUUGAUGUCACAAUUGGUGUCCGAGCUCUGCCCCCCAGAUAGCCAUGACGAGCCACUUCAGGUCAAACUAGACCACGAAGCUCCCCAGCCAGGAGCUACCAUGCUGGACCAUCCACCAUCUGGUCUUGAAUGAAGACAGCCCAGUUUCCAGGGCUCGGAAUAGAACACCACACCUUCCAGAACCACCUGUUUCGCUCUGCACACACCACCAGCUAAGAAGCCCUGCAAUGAUUGUUGUCUUAUGGAUGCUUCUCAUUGCAGGAACAAUGUGGAAGGGAUACAAAUAUCCCCCAGGAGGGACCCCAGUGGAAAUAAGCAAAGAUGAUCCUGGUGAAGUGAUGCAGCUCUGAAGCUUUCCCACCCAGCUGUACAGCUCCUGAUGGUGUCACAUAUAAAGUAAUUGCACA